UAUGUUAACUUUAUCAGGUAGUCUCGGAUCUGUUGCACCUCGACUCACACUUAACCCAGAUACAGAAUGUUCGCUAGUUUGGAACUUCGCUUUAGCAUGCUAUGCAUACAGAUCGUGUGACUUGCUGCAGCCACGACAUUCUCCUCGUGUUCACUUGGAUUGAACACGUAUAUGCCUAUUCCCAUAUUAUAUAAUGCGACCGGAGAGCAUGGAUGAACAGAACAUCGCUUCUCUUCAUACGCAUGCAGUACAGAAGAAACGAGUGAGAUAUCUCUCUGGAAUAGAAUAGAAUAGACAUCAUUUAUUCCAAAGAAUAUGGUGAUAUAAAUAGAUGACAACAAUAAAAAAUUCAACAUAUUCUGCCACAGUUGGCGUAGGAAUGUCAAGUAUUAAAAUUACAUUAAAAAAUUACAUUUUAAAUGUUA